GCCCGCUCAGAAACUACAAAGGAAUUGACGGGGCCCGCACAAGCGGUGGAGUAUGUGGUUUAAUUCGAUGCAACGCGAAGAACCUUACCUGGUCUUGACAUCCCGGAGACCCUUAGGAAACUAGGGGGUGCUUCCAUCUGGAAGAAUCUGGAGACAGGUGCUGCAUGGCUGUCGUCAGCUCGUGUCGUGAGAUGUUGGGUUAAGUCCCGCAACGAGCGCAACCCUUGCCUUUAGUUGCCAGCAGUUCGGCUGGGCACUCUAAAGGGACUGCCGGUGUUAAACCGGAGGAAGGUGGGGAUGACGUCAAGUCCUCAUGGCCUUUAUGACCAGGGCUACACACGUACUACAAUGGCCGAUACAAAGGGCAGCGACACUGCGAGGUGAAGCCAAUCCCGUAAAAUCGGUCUCAGUCCGGAUUGGAGUCUGCAACUCGACUCCAUGAAGUUGGAAUCGCUAGUAAUCGUGGAUCAGCAUGCCACGGUGAAUACGUUCCCGGGCCUU
rnacentral:rRNA from 1 species